UGGGUUUAAUUGAACUAACCUAGGUAUUUAAUUUCUUUCCUUGAUUCCCCUCUUCACUCUCCCGAUUCUUCCUCGCCGCGGACACCCAAUCCCCCGCCGCACCUCCAUCUUCCCCGAGCCCUAAUCUCCCCUACGCCGAACUUCUUCUUCUCCUUUCCUCUUCCUUGCGUCGCCCCACUUUCACUGUCGUCGGCGACGUUUGAGCCACCGUCGACCAAGCUCCCUUUUCUCCUGAUUUCGCCGACUGUUCUCAGCUCUGAUGCGCGUCUCCGCACUUGAUUGUCUUGGCGAUGCUCAUCCCGGCAGCAGCCGAGCCUCCUUUCCUCCUAUCAACUACCCGGUCGUGCCCUAGCACCGCCCCUCUCUUGAUCUAGAGACCAUUGUCGCGCCGCACUACACCGAUUGGCCAUCGUCGAGCCAUCUCCGUGCCCUAGUUGCCACCCCUCCGUCUGAUCCAGCACCUCUUCUUCGUCGAAUUCUGGACUAGGGAGGUAUACUGUCUUCUACUCUUCACUGGAUGUCGGUGCCUUUUCCUCACCAGCAUAGAUUGAUUUUCGAAGAUUGGAUCUCGCUACCACUUCGGAGCUUAUCGCCAGCAUAGCUCUACAUUUCUCCAUCGCCAAUGUGGAUCUGCUGCUGUCGUCGCUGAGGUUCUUCUCAGACCUGUGAUAGCAUUGGUUGGAGAAUUGGUCGAGCCCUGUUUCCAAAUUUCACCGCUGUCCCUUCUUCCUUCAACCGGCUGAGUUUGUGCCCUAGCUUCCUCCCUGAGCUGAUGCCGAGUGUCUUUCCUAAUCUAGCCACAGUCGAGCUUACCUUUGGCCAUGCUCUAGCUUUAGGUUCAUCACCUUUCAUUUGGUUGGCUCGCUAUCACAGCACACAGAUUAUGUUCGAGGGAGAUCUGUGGAUCAUCAACUGAUACAUUGUACUCGGGUAGCAGGUAAAGGAUUUAUGGAGUCGCUUGGAGAUCCUGUCCGCCAGUUCCACGUCACAUCCGAGGACGACCUUACGAAUUUGGUAGCAGGUAAAGGAUUUAUGGAGUCGCUUGGAUAUCCUGUCCGCUAGUUCCACGUCACAUCCGAGGACGACCUUACGAAUUUGGUAUUUCUUACGUUAUUUGUAUUUUGGGUUUUGUACUUGUUUAUGUAUUGGUGUUCUCUUGUAUUUGGUUUGAUAUUAUUGUGUUAAGCCGAGCCGGCUCGCAGU